rnacentral:rRNA from 1 species
UACGUAGGGCGCAAGCGUUGUCCGGAAUUAUUGGGCGUAAAGAGCUCGUAGGCGGCCUGUUGCGUCCGCUGUGAAAUCCCGGGGCUUAACCCCGGGCGUGCAGUGGAUACGGGCAGGCUGGAGGCAGGCAGGGGAGAACGGAAUUCCCGGUGUAGCGGUGAAAUGCGCAGAUAUCGGGAGGAACACCGGUGGCGAAGGCGGUUCUCUGGGCCGGUACUGACGCUGAGGAGCGAAAGCGUGGGGAGCGAACAGG